GGUGUGACACCAUUUCGUAUCCGAUAAUUAUAAAGAUAAUAGUGAAGUUGCCCAUCACCAGGUCCAAAUUUCAGCUCUUUCAGGAAAGACUGAUUUUGCAUGACAUCUAAUGCAUUAAAAACAUCAAAAUCCUUUUGCUUAGCAACAAUAAGCGCAUCACUCAUCAACUGAAGAAGUGGAGUCCUAGUAGCCACAUUGUAAAAUGAAUAAGCAGCUUUCAAAGUCGAGUAAUUCUGGUUGCCAAG
rnacentral:misc_RNA from 1 species